GGGAGGGAAGGAGGGGAGACGUACCUAGUGUUAUGACCUGUAGGUGUAGUAAUGGGAGGGAAGGAGGGGAGACGUACCUAGUGUUAUGACCUGUAGGUGUAGUAAUGGGAGGGAAGGAGGGGAGACGUACCUAGUGUUAUGACCUGUAGGUGUAGUAAUGGGAGGGAAGGAGGGGAGACGUACCUAGUGUUAUGACCUGUAGGUGUAGUAAUGGGAGGGAAGGAGGGGUGACGUACCUAGUGUUAUGACCUGUAGGUGUAGGGAAGGAGGGGUGACGUACCUAGUGUUAUGACCUGUAGGUGUAGGGAAGGAGGGGAGACGUACCUAGUGUUAUGACCUGUAGGUGUAGGGAAGGAGGGGAGACGUACCUAGUGUUAUGACCUGUAGGUGUAGGGAAGGAGGGGUGACGUACCUAGUGUUAUGACCUGUAGGUGUAGGGAAGGAGGGGAGACGUACCUAGUGUUAUGACCUGUAGGUGUAGGGAAGGAGGGGUGACGUACCUAGUGUUAUGCCCUGUAGGUGUAGGGAAGGAGGGGUGACGUACCUAGUGUUAUGACCUGUAGGUGUAGGGAAGCAGGGAAGGAGGGGUGACGUACCUAGUGUUAUGCCCUGUAGGUGUAGGGAAGGAGGGGUGACGUACCUAGUGUUAUGACCUGUAGGUGUAGGGAAGGAGGGGUGACGUACCUAGUGUUAUGCCCUGUAGGUGUAGGGAAGGAGGGGAGUCGUACCUAGUGUUAUGACCUGUAGGUGUAGGGAAGGAGGGGUGACGUACCUAGUGUUAUGACCUGUAGGUGUAGUAAUGGGAGGGAAGGAGGGGAGACGUACCUAGUGUUAUGACCUG